CUUAAUUGGGCGUUAAGUUGCAGGGUAUAGACCCGAAACCCGGUGAUCUAGCCAUGGGCAGGUUGAAGGUUGGGUAACACUAACUGGAGGACCGAACCGACUAAUGUUGAAAAAUUAGCGGAUGACCUGUGGCUGGGGGUGAAAGGCCAAUCAAACCGGGAGAUAGCUGGUUCUCCCCGAAAGCUAUUUAGGUAGCGCCUCGUGAAUUCAUCUCCGGGGGUAGAGCACUGUUUCGGCUAGGGGGCCAUCCCGGCUUACCAACCCGAUGCAAACUGCGAAUACCGGAGAAUGUUAUCACGGGAGACACACGGCGGGUGCUAACGUCCGUCGUGAAGAGGGAAACAACCCAGACCGCCAGCUAAGGUCCCAAAGUCAUGGUUAAGUGGGAAACGAUGUGGGAAGGCCCAGACAGCCAGGAUGUUGGCUUAGAAGCAGCCAUCAUUUAAAGAAAGCGUAAUAGCUCACUGGUCGAGUCGGCCUGCGCGGAAGAUGUAACGGGGCUAAACCAUGCACCGAAGCUGCGGCAGCGACGCUGAUGCGUUGUUGGGUAGGGGAGCGUUCUGUAAGCCUG
rnacentral:rRNA from 1 species